rnacentral:rRNA from 1 species
GAUGAACGCUGGCGGCGUGCCUAAUACAUGCAAGUCGAGCGAACGGACGAGAAGCUUGCUUCUCUGAUGUUAGCGGCGGACGGGUGAGUAACACGUGGAUAACCUACCUAUAAGACUGGGAUAACUUCGGGAAACCGGAGCUAAUACCGGAUAAUAUUUUGAACCGCAUGGUUCAAAAGUGAAAGACGGUCUUGCUGUCACUUAUAGAUGGAUCCGCGCUGCAUUAGCUAGUUGGUAAGGUAACGGCUUACCAAGGCAACGAUGCGUAGCCGACCUGAGAGGGUGAUCGGCCACACUGGAACUGAGACACGGUCCAGACUCCUACGGGAGGCAGCAGUAGGGAAUCUUCCGCAAUGGGCGAAAGCCUGACGGAGCAACGCCGCGUGAGUGAUGAAGGUCUUCGGAUCGUAAAACUCUGUUAUUAGGGAAGAACAUAUGUGUAAGUAACUGUGCACAUCCUGACGGUACCUAAUCAGAAAGCCACGGCUAACUACGUG